GAUUCAGUAUUAAUGUUGUGAGAAGUAGAGCUAUUACCACAGCUCUAAUGAACUGUUGCAUCAGCCUAGAUAUUUCAACAAAAAGGAAAGCUAUUGCAACGGUUUGUGAUUAUAGUAAUGGAAACAGUAGGAGGCGCGCUGAAAAUUUCAUCUUACCUCUACUUUUUUGCCCAAAUAUUUUGAACCCUUGUCACUAUUCCAUGGGCAAAAAAUAAGGAACCCUUACACUAUUUUCUCUCUACUGUACUACUUUCCCCAUUUUUUUUCAUUCUUCGAAUUCUCCAUUUCCCCCAUUUCUCCAUUUCCCCCAAUCCUCCAUUUCCCCCAAUUCUAUUAAGCUAUUUUAAUUAGCAAUUCCAAAAACUUUAAAUUCUCAAUUUUCCCCAAAUCUCCGAUUUUAAGGCCAUAAAAUACUCAAAAAUUACUUACAAUUUCUUGAAAAUUCUGAGAGGAAAACUUAGUGAAGUAGAGGAAGGCGGAACUCAAGAGGUGGCGUAAUUCAAGUGACGUUUGGUUGCUCAAGAGGCGGCGUAAUUCAAGUGGAGAAGUUCCAUUUUCGUCUUGCAUGUCCCUGUGGCUGAUAUCUCGACUUUGAGUUCAAGGUAUGGAUAGUGGAACUAAAGAGUGGUGGAUGUUUGCCAAAUGGAGUGAUGAAUAUGAACGGGGAAUUCUUAGAAAAUAUGCAAGCUCAAUUAGUACAACAACUUGCACCAAGCGUAACAACUGCAAUUUUGACUCAACUUCAGGAUGCUAACCCCGGGAUUAAUCUUGUCAUUCCUGAUUUUUCGAUUCCAUUGGCUCCAAAGGAUUCAUGUAGUGCGCCACAUCUUCUCGUUGACCAAAAUAGGCAAUCUUCUAAAUCUGGGGCUACAAUUAAUCAGGUGCAUGGUGAGCAAAAUGGAGAUGAAGUAUAGUGACUACAUGACUAGCUAGUCAUCUAACAAAUGGUGCAAAUAUUUUGGCGACUCCUAUCUAUUAGUUCAAGUUGUCAAAAAACCGGCUUAUAUAUAUGUUGGAAUUUGUAUUUUGGACGAUUAAAUUAAUUAUAUAACUUUAGUUUAUUAGUAGGGUGUCAUACCGAAAACAAGUAAGUAAUAUUUUGUAAUGUACGUAUUUAGCAUUAUAAUUAUUGUAUAUAAAUUUAAUGAAUUUUUGUUUC